GAUGAACGCUGGCGGCGUGCCUAAUACAUGCAAGUCGAACGCUGAAGGAAGGAGCUUGCUCUUUCCGGAUGAGUUGCGAACGGGUGAGUAACGCGUAGGUAACCUGCCUGGUAGCGGGGGAUAACUAUUGGAAACGAUAGCUAAUACCGCAUAACAGUAGAUGUUGCAUGAUAUCUACUUAAAAGGUGCAAUUGCACCACUACCAGAUGGACCUGCGUUGUAUUAGCUAGUUGGUGAGGUAACGGCUCACCAAGGCGACGAUACAUAGCCGACCUGAGAGGGUGAUCGGCCACACUGGGACUGAGACACGGCCCAGACUCCUACGGGAGGCAGCAGUAGGGAAUCUUCGGCAAUGGACGGAAGUCUGACCGAGCAACGCCGCGUGAGUGAAGAAGGGUUUCGGAUCGUAAAGCUCUGUUGUAAGAGAAGAACGAGUGUGAGAGUGGAAAGUUCACACUGUGACGGUAUCUUACCAGAAAGGGACGGCUAACUACGUG
rnacentral:rRNA from 1 species